UACGAAGGGGGCUAGCGUUGCUCGGAAUCACUGGGCGUAAAGCGCAUGUAGGCGGAUCGUUAAGUCGGGGGUGAAAUCCUGGAGCUCAACUCCAGAACUGCCUUUGAUACUGGCGAUCUUGAGUCCGGGAGAGGUGAGUGGAACUCCGAGUGUAGAGGUGAAAUUCGUAGAUAUUCGCAAGAACACCAGUGGCGAAGGCGGCUCACUGGCCCGGUACUGACGCUGAGGUGCGAAAGCGUGGGGAGCAAACAGG
rnacentral:rRNA from 1 species